rnacentral:rRNA from 1 species
AGAGUUUGAUCCUGGCUCAGGACGAACGCUGGCGGCGUGCCUAAUACAUGCAAGUCGAACGCUUCUUUUUCCACCGGAGCUUGCUCCACCGGAAAAAGAGGAGUGGCGAACGGGUGAGUAACACGUGGGUAACCUGCCCAUCAGAAGGGGAUAACACUUGGAAACAGGUGCUAAUACCGUAUAACAAUCGAAACCGCAUGGUUUUGAUUUGAAAGGCGCUUUCGGGUGUCGCUGAUGGAUGGACCCGCGGUGCAUUAGCUAGUUGGUGAGGUAACGGCACACCAAGGCGACGAUGCAUAGCCGACCUGAGAGGGUGAUCGGCCACAUUGGGACUGAGACACGGCCCAAACUCCUACGGGAGGCAGCAGUAGGGAAUCUUCGGCAAUGGACGAAAGUCUGACCGAGCAACGCCGCGUGAGUGAAGAAGGUUUUCGGAUCGUAAAACUCUGUUGUUAGAGAAGAACAAGGAUGAGAGUAACUGUUCAUCCCUUGACGGUAUCUAACCAGAAAGCCACGGCUAACUACGUGCCAGCAGCCGCGGUAAUACGUAGGUGGCAAGCGUUGUCCGGAUUUAUUGGGCGUAAAGCGAGCGCAGGCGGUUUCUUAAGUCUGAUGUGAAAGCCCCCGGCUCAACCGGGGAGGGUCAUUGGAAACUGGGAGACUUGAGUGCAGAAGAGGAGAGUGGAAUUCCAUGUGUAGCGGUGAAAUGCGUAGAUAUAUGGAGGAACACCAGUGGCGAAGGCGGCUCUCUGGUCUGUAACUGACGCUGAGGCUCGAAAGCGUGGGGAGCAAACAGGAUUAGAUACCCUGGUAGUCCACGCCGUAAACGAUGAGUGCUAAGUGUUGGAGGGUUUCCGCCCUUCAGUGCUGCAGCUAACGCAUUAAGCACUCCGCCUGGGGAGUACGACCGCAAGGUUGAAACUCAAAGGAAUUGACGGGGGCCCGCACAAGCGGUGGAGCAUGUGGUUUAAUUCGAAGCAACGCGAAGAACCUUACCAGGUCUUGACAUCCUUUGACCACUCUAGAGAUAGAGCUUCCCCUUCGGGGGCAAAGUGACAGGUGGUGCAUGGUUGUCGUCAGCUCGUGUCGUGAGAUGUUGGGUUAAGUCCCGCAACGAGCGCAACCCUUAUUGUUAGUUGCCAUCAUUUAGUUGGGCACUCUAGCAAGACUGCCGGUGACAAACCGGAGGAAGGUGGGGAUGACGUCAAAUCAUCAUGCCCCUUAUGACCUGGGCUACACACGUGCUACAAUGGGAAGUACAACGAGUCGCAAAGUCGCGAGGCUAAGCUAAUCUCUUAAAGCUUCUCUCAGUUCGGAUUGUAGGCUGCAACUCGCCUACAUGAAGCCGGAAUCGCUAGUAAUCGCGGAUCAGCACGCCGCGGUGAAUACGUUCCCGGGCCUUGCACACACCGCCCGUCA